GGGAGUGAUAGUGUGUCACCUUCAGCCAGCAGUGACAGUGACAGUGUGCUCAAAGAUUCAGCAGAUGCUGGAAGUCCUGCUUUAAGUCCACUCUGCAAUGGAGAUAUUAUACUAGUGAACUAUACUAGUCCUGGUCCUGACUCCACCCUGCCCUGCCAACGCACACCUGAUCUACCUAUCAAUCAGCCAUGUCCUGUUAAACCUGUUCACAUGAUCGUCAAGUUUCUCAGUGGGUUUAUUAAAGCAGGCAUUUCUCUAGAAUCUACUGUACAGGACAGCGAUCAGGACCAGGACUGAUGAAGACGGUGAUAAACUCUCUACAGUGAGUAAAGGGAUUAACUGGACAGUGACCGCUGCCAAUCACCCCAAGAGAUGCAUCAAUCAAGACAAACUGAAGGAAGAUGUGUGGAAGUGUCUUUACAGUAUUUAUCACCUGAGAGAUUACAGUGAGGCCUACAUUACAGUUUAGUUAUAUUAUAUUUCAGUUACACUGCA